AGUGAACGCUGGCGGCAGGCCUAACACAUGCAAGUCGAACGGCAGCACAGGGGAGCUUGCUCCCUGGGUGGCGAGUGGCGGACGGGUGAGGAAUACAUCGGAAUCUACCCUUUCGUGGGGGAUAACGUAGGGAAACUUACGCUAAUACCGCAUACGAUCUGAGGAUGAAAGCAGGGGACCGCAAGGCCUUGCGCGAUUGGAUGAGCCGAUGUCCGAUUAGCUAGUUGGCGGGGUAAAGGCCCACCAAGGCGACGAUCGGUAGCUGGUCUGAGAGGAUAAUCAGCCACACUGGAACUGAGACAAGGUCCAGACUCCGACGGGAGGCAGCAGUGGGGAAUAUUGGACAAUGGGCGCAAGCCUGAUCCAGCCAUGCCGCGUGUGUGAAGAAGGCCUUCGGGUUGUAAAGCACUUUUGUUGGGAAAGAAAACCUGUCGGCUAAUACCCGGCUGGGAUGACGGUACCCAAAGAAUAAGCACCGGCUAACUUCGUGCCAGCAGCCGCAGUAAAAC
rnacentral:rRNA from 1 species